UACGUAGGGUCCGAGCGUUGUCCGGAUUUAUUGGGCGUAAAGAGCUCGUAGGCGGCUUGCUAAGUCAGGUGUGAAACCUCCAGGCUCAACCUGGAGCCGCCACCUGAUACUGGUAUGGCUAGAGUCCGGUAGGGGACCACGGAAUUCCUGGUGUAGAGGUGAAAUUCGUAGAUAUUCGGAAGAACACCAGUGGCGAAGGCGACUUACUGGACACAUAUUGACGCUGAGGUGCGAAAGCGUGGGGAGCAAACAGG
rnacentral:rRNA from 1 species